UACGAAGGGGGCUAGCGUUGCUCGGAAUCACUGGGCGUAAAGGGUGCGUAGGCGGGUCUUUAAGUCCGGGGUGAAAUCCUGGAGCUCAACUCCAGAACUGCCUUUGAUACUGAAGAUCUUGAGUCCGGGAGAGGUGAGUGGAACUGCGAGUGUAGAGGUGAAAUUCGUAGAUGUUCGCAAGAACACCAGUGGCGAAGGCGGCUCACUGGCCCGGUACUGACGCUGAGGCACGAAAGCGUGGGGAGCAAACAGG
rnacentral:rRNA from 1 species